rnacentral:rRNA from 1 species
AUUGAACGCUGGCGGCAUGCUUUACACGUGCAAGUCGAACGGUAACAGGGAGCUUGCUCCGCUGACGAGUGGCGAACGGGUGAGUAAUGCGUCGGAACGUGCCGAGUAGUGGGGGAUAACGCAGCGAAAGUUGUGCUAAUACCGCAUACGUACUGAGGUAGAAAGUGGGGGACCUUCGGGCCUCACGCUAUUCGAGCGGCCGACGUCUGAUUAGCUAGUAGGUGAGGUAAAGGCUCACCUAGGCGACGAUCAGUAGCGGGUCUGAGAGGAUGAUCCGCCACACUGGGACUGAGACACGGCCCAGACUCCUACGGGAGGCAGCAGUGGGGAAUUUUGGACAAUGGGCGAAAGCCUGAUCCAGCCAUGCCGCGUGUCUGAAGAAGGCCUUCGGGUUGUAAAGGACUUUUGUCGGGAGGAAAUCCCCAGCGCUAAUACCGCUGGGGGAUGACAGUACCUGAAGAAUAAGCACCGGCUGACUACGUGCCAGCCGCCGCAGUAAAAC